rnacentral:siRNA from 1 species
UAGCUCUUAGGUUCCUUUUAGGC